rnacentral:rRNA from 1 species
GGCCAAGUUUUUAAGGGCGCACGGUGGAUGCCUU